rnacentral:rRNA from 1 species
ACUUACAUCCAUAUUACAUUGAAAGUACUGGUUCUCCUCUGAUCACUGAAGUUAAGCAAUGUCGAUACUAGUUAGAUGAGUGAUUGCUUAGGAAACCUAGGUGCUGUAAGCA